UACGUAGGGUGCGAGCGUUAAUCGGAAUUACUGGGCGUAAAGCGUGCGCAGGCGGUGAUGUAAGACCGAUGUGAAAUCCCCGGGCUUAACCUGGGAACUGCAUUGGUGACUGCAUUGCUGGAGUAUGGCAGAGGGGGUGGAAUUCCACGUGUAGCAGUGAAAUGCGUAGAGAUGUGGAGGAACACCGAUGGCGAAGGCAGCCCCUGGGUCAAGAUUGACGCUCAUGCACGAAAGCGUGGGAGCAAACAGG
rnacentral:rRNA from 1 species